rnacentral:rRNA from 1 species
UACGGAGGGGGCUAGCGUUGUUCGGAAUUACUGGGCGUAAAGCGCACGUAGGCGGCUUUGCAAGUUAGAGGUGAAAGCCCGGGGCUCAACUCCGGAAUUGCCUUUAAAACUGCAUCGCUAGAAUUGUGGAGGAGGUAAGUGGAAUUCCGAGUGUAGAGGUGAAAUUCGUAGAUAUUCGGAAGAACACCAGUGGCGAAGGCGACUUACUGGACACAUAUUGACGCUGAGGUGCGAAAGCGUGGGAGCAACAGG